AUACUUUUUUGUAGCCCUAGUUAAACAAAAAUAUUUUCAGAUUGAUUUAUGUUGAAUGGUGAUCGCUGGGGACUGAUUUGAAUUCGUUCCAUUAUUCCCUAAUUUACUGAUUUCAGCAGGGAUCAGAGAAAGCGAAAUUGGCAGAAAAAUCUCAGUGAUUACUCAGUGUACAAUUGAUCAGGGGAAAAACAUCCUUGAUUGAUCAGAUCAAUAGUGAUUUCUAACUUGAUCAGACUACAGUGAAUCAUGGUACUGGCGAAGAACUGUACAGUUAGUACAUGAAGAUUGUACGUUUCAAGUUCAUAUGAAAGCAGAAAAGUUUCUUGUUCAACGUUGAGAAUCAAUUCAGUAUUUGUUCUGAUCCACGGAGAGUCCUGGCAAACUUCAUGAAAGGCUUCCAGUCAAAUUUACAUGGCGAGAAAUGUUCUGAUAGUAAUAGGUUUGCUUGUACUAGGCAUACUUGUGUUCUGUCUAUGCUGCUACAAGGU